GACGAACGCUGGCGGCGUGCUUAACACAUGCAAGUCGAACGGAAAGGCCCCCUUGUGGGGUACUCGAGUGGCGAACGGGUGAGUAACACGUGAGUAACCUACCCUUGACUUUGGGAUAGCUUCAGGAAACUGGGGCUAAUACCGGAUAGGAGCUCCUGCUGCAUGGUGGGGGUUGGAAAGUUUCGGCGGUUGGGGAUGGACUCGCGGCUUAUCAGCUUGUUGGUGGGGUAGUGGCUCACCAAGGCUUUGACGGGUAGCCGGCCUGAGAGGGUGACCGGCCACAUUGGGACUGAGAUACGGCCCAGACUCCUACGGGAGGCAGCAGUGGGGAAUAUUGCACAAUGGGCGGAAGCCUGAUGCAGCAACGCCGCGUGCGGGAUGACGGCCUUCGGGUUGUAAACCGCUUUCGCCUGUGACGAAGCGUGAGUGACGGUAAUGGGUAAAGAAGCACCGGCUAACUACGUG
rnacentral:rRNA from 1 species